GGUUCUGGACUCACCCAAGAUUGGGAACAUUUUUCCUGCAUCUAGCUUGUCCAGUCCUUUUAUAAUUUUAUAUGUUUCUAUAAGAACCCCCUCAUCCUUCUAAUCUUCAGUGAAUACGAGCCUAGUCUUUUCAAUCUUUCUUCAUAUGAAAGUCCUGCCAUCCCAGGAAUCAGUCUG